AAUGUUUGUGUAGAGCGUUGAAUCACAGUAUGUCAUCUCAAAGGGCUUUACAAAGAAAACGGGACGGUCAUUCUCAUAGAAUUGUCACUAUAUAACAGCAUGCCAUCUGGAUGAAAUGAUUCAUUCGUACUCGUAAAGGUUACUGCAUGAAGCCAGUCCAGCGCCUGAAGGGCGGGG